AGUGAACGCUGGCGGUAGGCCUAACACAUGCAAGUCGAACGGCAGCACAGUAAGAGCUUGCUCUUACGGGUGGCGAGUGGCGGACGGGUGAGGAAUACAUCGGAAUCUACUUUUUCGUGGGGGAUAACGUAGGGAAACUUACGCUAAUACCGCAUACGACCUACGGGUGAAAGCAGGGGAUCUUCGGACCUUGCGCGAUUGAAUGAGCCGAUGUCGGAUGAGCUAGUUGGCGGGGUAAAGGCCCACCAAGGCGACGAUCCGUAGCUGGUCUGAGAGGAUGAGCAGCCACACUGGAACGGAGACACGGUCCAGACUCCUACGGGAGGCAGCAGUGGGGAAUAUUGGACAAUGGGCGCAAGCCUGAUACAGCCAUACCGCGUGGGUGAAGAAGGCCUUCGGGUUGUAAAGCCCUUUUGUUGGGAAAGAAAAGCAGCAGGUUAAUACCCCGCUGUUCUGACGGUACCCAAAGAAUAAGCACCGGCUAACUUCGUG
rnacentral:rRNA from 1 species